AACGAACGCUGGCGGCAUGCCUAACACAUGCAAGUCGAACGAGACCUUCGGGUCCAGUGGCGCACGGGUGCGUAACGCGUGGGAACCUGCCCUUAGGUUCGGAAUAACUCCCCGAAAGGGGUGCUAAUACCGGAUAAUGUCUUCGGACCAAAGAUUUAUCGCCUUUGGAUGGGCCCGCGUUGGAUUAGCUAGUUGGUAGGGUAAAAGCCUACCAAGGCGACGAUCCAUAGCUGGUCUGAGAGGAUGAUCAGCCACACUGGGACUGAGACACGGCCCAGACUCCUACGGGAGGCAGCAGUGGGGAAUAUUGGACAAUGGGCGAAAGCCUGAUCCAGCAAUGCCGCGUGAGUGAUGAAGGCCUUAGGGUUGUAAAGCUCUUUUACCCGGGAUGAUAAUGACAGUACCGGGAGAAUAAGCCCCGGCUAACUCCGUG
rnacentral:rRNA from 1 species